rnacentral:rRNA from 1 species
UAGGGAAUCUUCCGCAAUGGACGCAAGUCUGACGGAGCAACGCCGCGUGAGUGAAGAAGGAUUUCGGUUCGUAAAACUCUGUUGUUAGAGAAGAACAGCGCAUAGAGUAACUGUUAUGCUUGUGACGGUAUCUAACCAGAAAGCCACGGCUAACUACGUGCCAGCAGCCGCGGUAAUACGUAGGUGGCAAGCGUUGUCCGGAUUUAUUGGGCGUAAAGCGAGCGCAGGCGGUCAAUUAAGUCUGAUGUGAAAGCCCCCGGCUCAACCGGGGAGGGUCAUUGGAAACUGGUUGACUUGAGUACAGAAGAGGGGAGUGGAAUUCCAUGUGUAGCGGUGAAAUGCGUAGAUAUAUGGAGGAACACCGGUGGCGAAAGCGGCUCUCUGGUCUGUAACUGACGCUGAGGCUCGAAAGCGUGGGGAGCGAACAGG